AGAGUUUGAUCCUGGCUCAGGAUGAACGCUAGCUACAGGCUUAACACAUGCAAGUCGAGGGGCAGCAUGGUCUUAGCUUGCUAAGGCCGAUGGCGACCGGCGCACGGGUGAGUAACACGUAUCCAACCUGCCGUCUACUCUUGGACAGCCUUCUGAAAGGAAGAUUAAUACAAGAUGGCAUCAUGAGUCCGCAUGUUCACAUGAUUAAAGGUAUUCCGGUAGACGAUGGGGAUGCGUUCCAUUAGAUAGUAGGCGGGGUAACGGCCCACCUAGUCUUCGAUGGAUAGGGGUUCUGAGAGGAAGGUCCCCCACAUUGGAACUGAGACACGGUCCAAACUCCUACGGGAGGCAGCAGUGAGGAAUAUUGGUCAAUGGGCGAGAGCCUGAACCAGCCAAGUAGCGUGAAGGAUGACUGCCCUAUGGGUUGUAAACUUCUUUUAUAAAGGAAUAAAGUCGGGUAUGCAUACCCGUUUGCAUGUACUUUAUGAAUAAGGAUCGGCUAACUCCGUGCCAGCAGCCGCGGUAAUACGGAGGAUCCGAGCGUUAUCCGGAUUUAUUGGGUUUAAAGGGAGCGUAGAUGGAUGUUUAAGUCAGUUGUGAAAGUUUGCGGCUCAACCGUAAAAUUGCAGUUGAUACUGGAUAUCUUGAGUGCAGUUGAGGCAGGCGGAAUUCGUGGUGUAGCGGUGAAAUGCUUAGAUAUCACGAAGAACUCCGAUUGCGAAGGCAGCCUGCUAAGCUGCAACUGACAUUGAGGCUCGAAAGUGUGGGUAUCAAACAGGAUUAGAUACCCUGGUAGUCCACACGGUAAACGAUGAAUACUCGCUGUUUGCGAUAUACAGCAAGCGGCCAAGCGAAAGCGUUAAGUAUUCCACCUGGGGAGUACGCCGGCAACGGUGAAACUCAAAGGAAUCGACGGGGGCCCGCACAAGCGGAGGAACAUGUGGUUUAAUUCGAUGAUACGCGAGGAACCUUACCCGGGCUUAAAUUGCAGAUGAAUUACGGUGAAAGCCGUAAGCCGCAAGGCAUCUGUGAAGGUGCUGCAUGGUUGUCGUCAGCUCGUGCCGUGAGGUGUCGGCUUAAGUGCCAUAACGAGCGCAACCCUUGUUGUCAGUUACUAACAGGUUCUGCUGAGGACUCUGACAAGACUGCCAUCGUAAGAUGUGAGGAAGGUGGGGAUGACGUCAAAUCAGCACGGCCCUUACGUCCGGGGCUACACACGUGUUACAAUGGGGGGUACAGAGGGCCGCUACCACGCGAGUGGAUGCCAAUCCCCAAAACCUCUCUCAGUUCGGACUGGAGUCUGCAACCCGACUCCACGAAGCUGGAUUCGCUAGUAAUCGCGCAUCAGCCACGGCGCGGUGAAUACGUUCCCGGGCCUUGUACACACCGCCCGUCAAGCCAUGGGAGCCGGGGGUACCUGAAGUGCGUAACCGCGAGGAGCGCCCUAGGGUAAAACUGGUGACUGGGGCUAAGUCGUAACAAGGUA
rnacentral:rRNA from 1 species